UCCAACAUUAUAUACAAAUGUAAACACAUAUAUAAAAAUGAUGAUGUUACAUUGUAUCGGCAAAUUAUAUUUGUUUAGGCCUGGAACCCCCAUGGACUUUGCAAGUGUAUUUUAGCUCACUUCACAUACAAAAGAUUCUCAUGCUUAGCUAUGUGGCUCUUAUGACCGAGAAGCAAGAUCUCUCCACUCAUUGUGCUUCAGCUUUGCAAGUUAUCACCUAUUAGGAGCAGAGAGAGAAUCCAAGUUUGCAAAGUACUCUCUCUUUUCCAUCUGGCUUUUAAUACUGGAAUGAAAAUUCUAAGAGGCUUUGAUCAUCUGGAAAAUAUCUUGAAAUAUUCUUAAAAUGGCAACCCGUUUUCCUGGAAGAAUAAAGCAUUUCCUCUUGAUGGGCAAAACUCUUCUUUGGGUUCUCCUAUGCAAUGACGAAGGGAGCAGAAAGCAGAAAGAGAAGUAAGGAAGCUCGAGUCCAACAGCAUUUGUUAAUAAGUUGUUUUUAGAUUCAUAUUUUUAGAAUAUGACAAUAUUAUAUUGCAAGGUUACAUAAGGUAACAAGAAGGUGAUACUCUGUUUUCCUCCAUGAUGUUUCUGGAUUCUGCACUGAAAGCUCCCAUAUAUUAUUAGUUUUUUUUUCCCCCAACAAAUUCCUCUAGUUGUAUUGGCUAUUGAUCCAGUGGCGAUGCUUUUGUUUAGUAUUUGCUCUCUUUUUCCAUGUAGCUGUUAAUACUUUAA